AAUGCUUAACUACUUUGAGGAGAUCGAUGUCUUGGUGAGGCAGAGUGUCGGAGCCAUGAGGACGAACGGAGAUGUUACCGGAAGAGUUGGCGGUGAAGUAUGGAGCUCCCCAACCGUCGAUGCGGUAGAGAGAGGCGGAGAGAGAGGGAUUCCAACGGGAAGAGCUGUCGGAGGAGGAGGAAGUUGGUGACGCCGGGAUAAACACGUCAGCAGGCAUCUUUCGAGAGAGAUUGAAAGGUUUAGAGCCGACGAGGCGGAAGGUGUAUCUAUCGCCGCCGCGAUGACCGUUUCAGAAGAAAAGUCAAAGCAAGCUUGAAUGAACAAGAGAAGCUUGAUGAGGAUGAUGAAGGCAGAUUACACUCUACUUGUUUAUAUAAUAAGGGAGGGAAAAGUAAGCAGACAGAAACAGAAGAUGGUUAUGAUAUUUGGGCCGUGGGGCCCAUUUAUGAUAUUUCCUUCUUUUUUAUUUUAAUCACUAGAAUUUAUUUCCUUGAUUCACCAACAUAUAAAGCUACUGUUUCUUCAAUUUAAAUUUUGUAAAAGUGGUUUAUAACCAAACAUGUCUAGGCAUAUAUCACCAACAAAGUCAAUUAAAAAAUAUAGCUACUAUUUCUUCAAUUUAAAUUUUGUAAAUUUUAGUUAUAUAUAUCCAUAAAACUUAUUGCCGGUGUAAACAUAGCAAAUUUCUGCAAAAAAUAUAAAAAUAAAUUAUUAUUAAAAGAUAAACCUGGUAAAAACUUGGCAAAACCAGUGAACCGGGCCAAUCAAUAAACCUAGUUCCAUCAAAUACAAAACAUAAUUUGGCUAAUCUUCUUUAUUAAAAUAUUUAUAAAUGGCAAUUCUUGAUCGAUUCAAGAUUCUCAGUCUUCUUUUAAAAACGAAAACCAUUUUUUUCUUAUUUUUUUGGUUUUUAUUAUAUACACCUUUCUAUAUAUUAUUAUAAGCAUCCAUGGAAAUAGUUUUACAUACCCAAUAGUAUGCAUUUUUUAUAUUAUUUUAUAUUAUUUUAUAUUUAAAUUUAAUUUUUUAAAUGGCAAUUCGUGACAUUUAUUUUCUUGUUACAUUAUUUUAUAUUUAAAUUUAUGAAGACUACUUUAGUAUUAGUAUGCAUUUUUUAUAUUUAUAUUGAAAGUUUUAAUUUUCUAUAUAUAAAUAAUAGUGUUAACAAAUGAAUGAAAUGACAUAAAAUAUUAGUGGUCACAAAUAAAUUUAAUUUGAUAACUAUGUUUUAAACGUGCGUACGGGCCCAUGCUUUAUGCAAAUACAUUGUUAUCAGCAGCUGCAGUCUACAGUGUAAGCGGGCCGCUUUUAUUUGGAAACAUGUAAAUAAAUUGUUGUCAGCAGUUUGCAAAUUAAGUUAAACCCAUGUCAGAAAAUAUAAAAUUUACAAAAUUGAUUAUGUUUAGUCUUCCCGUUCUUUAUGAUUUGUUACUUUCUGUAGCUCUAUUAAUUUUUUUGUUCUUCUCUCGUGUCUAUAGUCUAUACGUGCAAUUUAUUUACCGUGGGUAUGAAUGAAUAGCUUCACCAAAAAGUAACACUAGUACAUUUUUUCUUUAGUAACGUACAACUUAAUUAAAAAAAAAGCAAAACAGAUUCCAACUUCCAAAUCCAAGAGCAGCUGAACCGGACGUUGAUAAAUCUGAUAUUGAGUUGGAAUAUGCAUUAGAAUAAGUUAACAGAAAACGCGUCGACUGCGGUAAAAGGCGCUUACUGGAUCUGAGGGCUCAUGUCCACCACUCCUCUUAUGGCGAUCGUACAUGACUGCUCUUUCAUACCACUAUUCUACUAUAUCCCUUUUUCUCCAAAAGAAACUAAAUAAAAAAUCGUGUCUGCUCACCACGGUUCGGAUAAGUCCGUAUGAAAACUCUAGAGAGGGCAUGUCAUGGGCUGCACCUCCCGUCUGGGGACUAGGUCUAUGUCUUUAAUGGACUUGGAUUUAACCCAUUUUUCUUUUUGUUUUUCUUUAAUGCAUGUCUUACAAUAUAAUUUACUAUUUUAAAAGAAAAUAUAGAUAAAUGUUACUAUUAUCUCUAUAUUACGCAUGAAAAUAUUAUUUUAUAUUUUACUUAAGAAAAAUCUACUAUAGGAACAUAUAUAAACUAAAACAAACUUGUAUAUAUAAUAGAAUUUCUAUAUAAUUAUAGAGAUAGAAUGAACAUGGUUUUAUUGAUGAAUGCUAAUAAUGCCCUAACAGAGGUCCCAAAGGGCGAGGUCUUGGUUUGUGGCCCUGCUUUUAAACUAACUAGAAAUUGAUCUGUGGACCCGUGCUUAUUCAGAUCCAGAAGGACUCAACCCAAAAUCCACACAUAAAUUUAUAAUAUUUAAGCGUGAUCUAAUUUCAAAACAAAAAAAUAAAGAUACCCAAAAAAAAACUUGUACAUAAAUGGAUAGUCAAUGUUCAUGUCUAACUGAUUUUAUAAACUAAUAGAAAGAGUUAUUGCUAUGUGUUUGGAUAAAUUAAGUGAAAUAAAAAGAGUUUCUUAUUUAGUAAAAUAAUUAUAUGGAGUAGAAAAUUAAGUGACAAUAAAUGUAAUACAUUUUUAUUAUUUUGAUUUAAGUUAUUAUUUUAUUCAAAAAAUGUGUCUUUGAAUUAUGUUUUUGGCUACAUAAUUUUUCACAUAAUUAAACUAAAAUUUAUAAAAAGGUUUUAGUAAAACAAACUAAACGAAACGUUAAAUGCAAAAUCCAAUUUUUUUUUUUUUAUAAUUGACACAAAGUUAAUAUUGAUUAAUUAAUUAAUAAAAAUCUGUACUAUUAUUAUUAUUAUGGUAAUAUAAUUAAUGAUGUGAUGCAUUAUUCAAGUAAUAUAAUUAAUAAAAUUGCUAAAAUAAGUGAAAUAUGGAAAGACAUUUAAUGUAUUUAUAUUAAUGAAAUUAUUAAAAAACAUUAUACUUUUUUUAUAAUACUAUUUAUGUUUCCAAACAAUUCUCAUAUAUAUUGUUAUCUAUAUUUCCAAACAAUACCAAAAGAUAUAAUGCUAAAGUGAAAGGUUAGCAAAGUUCCGGAAAGAUUUAUACACGUGAAAAAUCUAGCAUGUCGCGAUCAUUGGUGUCUAUCCCUCCCAACUAGAAAUGGUCGGACUAGUCCUAGUCCCCAAGUCCAUACGCGUAGAAGCAAUCACAGAAAAAAUAAAUCUUUAUUUUAAAAAUCUAUAAAAAAAAAUUAUCAUUCAGGAAUCGAGAAGGUAACCAUAAACUAUUAUUCGUUCGAUCUUAAACAAAAUAAGUUAUUCAAGUAUCUCUUAAGAUCAACUCCAAUAAAAAUUCUCAAAAGAAGUUAUUCAAGUAUAUAUAUAUAUAUAUACACAUAUCUUCAUAUUUAGUAGAAUAAUCUUAGAGCAUCAUUAACGUCGAGAAACUCAGAAAAAAUAAUGUUACACAAAUAGAAAUUAUUAAUAACAUGCUGUGUAUUACACUAUUGGUGAAGCUAUCUUUAUAGGACAGAUAGAAGAAAUAUUCUAAUGAGAGCUUCUCAUCAAUAGGAACCUCAUCAAAACAUGUGUUAAGGGGUGAUGCUUAACUAACUUCUAUUUUAAACUUUUGCACAAAAACUUUUAAAAUGAGUGCAAAAAAAAAAAGUAAGAUUUUCUACGAAACACACAAUAAGAGAUCAAGAUGGUUUGAGAAAUCAAACUUCUUUACAAAAUAACUGUAUUUUUUUCAAAUCAAAACAAAUAAAUGUAUUUAAACUUCCUCAGGACAACACAAGAAUAUAGAAACAUACCAAGCUCCUCAAAGCUUUUUAUUACAGAACCGAACAAUAAGAGAACCCCUACAACCCGGAUGCAAACCACCGAAAGAGAAAAAGGGGAUGACGAAUAGGUGAGUUUGCUUCCGAAACAAAGUCCCAAGAAUCCAGUAAAUCUGUUGGUUCCCGAUGAUAAAUAC